AUCCAGCUGACAAGUCCCAAAUAGGACGAAACUCACGUUUUAGAU
rfam:Schistosoma haematobium scaffold677_29, whole genome shotgun sequence.